UGAUCCUGGCUCAGGAUGAACGCUGGCGGCGUGCUUAACACAUGCAAGUCGAACGAGGGUUUUUAUGGACAAUCACUUCGGUGAGAGGAAGUGAAAACCGAGUGGCGGACGGGUGAGUAACGCGUGGGGAACCUGCCUUAUACCGGGGGAUAACAGUUAGAAAUGACUGCUAAUACCGCAUAAGCGCACGAAGAGGCAUCUCUUUGUGUGAAAAACUCCGGUGGUAUAAGAUGGACCCGCGUUGGAUUAGCCAGUUGGCGGGGUAACGGCCCACCAAAGCGACGAUCCAUAGCCGGACUGAGAGGUCGAACGGCCACAUUGGGACUGAGACACGGCCCAGACUCCUACGGGAGGCAGCAGUGGGGAAUAUUGCACAAUGGAGGAAACUCUGAUGCAGCGACGCCGCGUGAGUGAUGAAGUAUUUCGGUAUGUAAAGCUCUAUCAGCAGGGAAGAAGACGACGGUACCUGACUAAGAAGCCCCGGCUAACUACGUGCC
rnacentral:rRNA from 1 species